rnacentral:rRNA from 1 species
GCGGUAUUUCUGACCGUGCGAAGGUAGCAUAAUCAUUAGUCUUUUAAUUGAAGGCUUGUAUGAAGGGUCGGACGAGAGAUAAACUGUUUCAAAUGAAAAAGUUGAAUUUAACUUUUAAGUGAAAAGGCUUAAAUACCCUAAAAAGACGAUAAGACCCUAUAAAUCUUAACAUUAAGAUAAAUGUUUAUCUAAUUUAUUAGUUCAAGAAGAUUAUUUAAAAAAUGUUGUGUUGGGGCGACAAAGAUAUAACCAUAACUGUUUUAGUUUGUAUAACAAAAAUUAUUGAUAUUAAAAGAUCCUUAUUAAAGAUUGCAAGACUAAGUUACUUUAGGGAUAACAGCGUUAUUCUUCUUGAGAGUUCCAAUCGAAAGAGGAGUUUGCGACCUCGAUGUUGAAUUAAAAAUUCUUUAUAGUGCAACAGCUAUGAGAGAAAGUCUGUUCGACUU